rnacentral:rRNA from 1 species
AUUGAACGCUGGCGGCAGGCCUAACACAUGCAAGUCGAGCGAGCGGCGGACGGGUGAGUAAUGUCUGGGAAACUGCCUGAUGGAGGGGGAUCACAACUGGAAACGGUAGCUAAUACCGCAUACCAUCAGAUGUGCCCAUAUGGGAUUAGCUUGUAGGUGUGGUAACGGCUCACCUAGGCGACGAUCCCUAGCUGGUCUGAGAGGAUGAUCAGCCACACUGGGACUGAGACACGGCCCAGACUCCUACGGGAGGCAGCAGUGGGGAAUAUUGCACAAUGGGCGCAAGCCUGAUGCAGCCAUGUCGCGUGUAUGAAGAAGGCCUUCGGGUUGUAAAGUACUUUCAGUCGGGAGGCGUUACCGACAGAAGAAGCACCGGCUAACUCCGUGCCAGCCGCCGCGGUAAUAC